rnacentral:misc_RNA from 1 species
ACAAACUUGGUCAUUUAGAGGAAGUAAAAGUCGUAACAAGGUAACCGUAGGUGAACCUGCGGUUGGAUCAUUACCAAUCCAAAAGUCGUUCUCCAUCCCCCUCCUCACGGAGGGUCAAGGUGGGAACACUCACACCCUUGUGAACCAUUGAAUGUAUUUUCGGUGUGCAGUGAUCAAUCAGGUAUCUCUCUUGAUUCUUCACGCGCCUCACGCUUGCGUGGGGGGCCGGAGACAAUUGCCGUUGCUCUCACGAGCGCGACAAGAGUCGCCGUGGCCACCGAACAUUGAACAAACUCCACGUAUUAUUCAACCUCUGAAACCAAAAAAAAGAACCAAUGAGAAACAACUUUAGACAACGGAUCUCUUGGCUCUCGCAUCGAUGAAGAACGCAGC